rnacentral:rRNA from 1 species
UACGUAGGGUGCGAGCGUUGUCCGGAAUUAUUGGGCGUAAAGGGCUCGUAGGCGGUCUGUCGCGUCGGGAGUGAAAACUCAGGGCUUAACCCUGAGCCUGCUUCCGAUACGGGCAGACUAGAGGUAUGCAGGGGAGAACGGAAUUCCUGGUGUAGCGGUGAAAUGCGCAGAUAUCAGGAGGAACACCGGUGGCGAAGGCGGUUCUCUGGGCAUUACCUGACGCUGAGAAGCGAAAGCAUGGGGAGCGAACAGG